rnacentral:rRNA from 1 species
ACUCAAAUGAAUAGACGGGGGCUCACACAAGCGGUGGAGGAUGUGGUUUAAUUCGAAGCAACGCGCAGAACCUUACCAGGUCUUGACAUACCGGGAUUAACUUCGUGAAAGCGAGGGGAUUGCCAGCAAUGGUGUAACCGGAACAGGUGCUGCAUGGCUGUCGUCAGCUCGUGCCGUGAGGUGUUAGGUUAAGUCCUUUAACGAGCGAAACCCCUACAUUUAGUUACCAGCGCGUAAAGGCGGGGACUCUAGAUGGACUGCCGCGCAAGCAGGAGGAAGGUGGGGACGACGUCAAGUCAUCAUGGCCUUUAUGACCUGGGCCACACACGUCCUACAAUGGAUUGUACAAAGGGAUGCAAAGCCGCGAGGCGAAGCCAAUCCUGGAAAGCAAUCCUCAGUUCAGAUUGUGGGCUGCAAUUCGCCCACAUGAAGCUGGAAUCGCUAGUAAUCGCGGAUCAGCCACGCCGCGGUGAAUUUGUUCCUGAGCCUUGUACACACCGCCCGU